GUUGUGGCUCAGGGGCCAGCACCUGCUAGUACCAGGACACUACUGGGAGGCUGGGACCUGACCAAAGCUCAUGGUGUCUGUUGCCUGAGGACAGGGUGUCUUGGGCCAUAAGGCCAGGCCACCAAUGGCCAUUGGGUCAUAGGGGCUCAGCCCCAGUGUUUGCCCUUCCCUGGCUCCUUCUGGUUCGGUCCUAUCAGGGCCCUGGAGCCCAAGACCCAGCAUCCAAGGUCCCCUCCAGGAAUCCUGGCGGCUCAGCUUACUUUGUCAUGUUUCAUCUGAGAGCAAAAAUGUCAGAUCGGCUGCACAGAAAAAUGGCUCAAAGUACUUAAUGACUAGAAGAAAUCUAGGAGCAGCAAGAAGGUGUGGUGCUGGGCAUGGUCACUCCUGCUGAAUGUCUAGAAGGUGAAAACCAAGGACCUAGGGAAAUACCAGGUACAGCCUUUCCACCCUCAUCCAGAGCGGGACAAACAGGCCAGGCGGUGUCAGGAGCACAGGUCUCCAGCUGGAGGGAGUGUCAGCCCUGCAGUAGGAGUCCAUCACGCAUCCUAGGCACAUAUGCUAAUGUAGGUAUCACAGGAAUUCAAGUGACUAUAUUGCCACCAUCUUGGAGCUCACUGCCCUCAGUGUAAUGGCACCAGUAGAUCUGCCUGUGCACAGACUUCCUGUACUAC
rnacentral:lncRNA from 1 species